CUGUGUUUUCCAGAGUAGGAUGAUUCAUGAUUAACAUAGGCGGCACAGGUAGAUUGUCAUUAUAUCUAGCAUUUAAUCGCAGGGUUAAAAUGUUGUACAACAUGUCAAUUUGUACUGAAAGCACAGACACAAUUGAUAUUUGUGGCCAUCAAAAGCGGGAGUAAAUAUACUGUUUAGAGAUAAUGGUGAUUUUGGACUCAUUGCCUUGGCGACUGCGGAAAUAGCGUGCCAAAAUCAGGCAGGAAUUAGAAACUGAAAACCUGAAACCGAGUGUCUGUUAUUUGAAAAGGGAAAUGGAGGGGGGAAAAAAACACACGACACAGACCAUCAUGCGUGGGGUUUCUUUCGGUGUUCGGCCGUGGCUCAGCUGACGCUGCUGGUUUGAACGAGCUAGCUAAUUCAAGCUAGCAUGCCGCCGUGGGUUGAACUACAAACGGCGAUUUAACCGGACCCUCUCUAAACUCGGCCGAGCGAACAGUUAAAUGUACGUGAGAGUAGCGGCGACACUGCGUUUAAACCAUGUCCGUUUUAUUUCUGUAUAGUCUCUUUAGUCCCCCAAAGUAAAUCAUAAAGCUCUUUAGCUAGAGGUUGUUGCUCAUUAGCUUAGUGAUAGUUUAAAAGUGACACUCAAUCCAAAGUCUUUUAGUAUCAAACACUCACCAUGAAGACUUGAAAGAUGAUAUUAAAAAUCAUGCGUAGGUUGCUCUUCACAAAUGGAUGGUUGUAGCUAGCUUGGAUCCACUACAGCUACAAUGGAUUCCAGUUUCCAAAAAAGAAACUUCUCAAACCGCUCCUACCAGAUAUGCCACUUCUCCUCCGUCCAUCUGUAUAAAUUAUUUUCCCCCCAAAACACUCAUAUUGCCGUCGACGUUUCCGUUAUCCGGUAAUGACCGGAUUUUGACCGGGAAAAUCUGGUGGAAGGCCGACAAUUCUUAAUCUCUCCGGUCAUAAUGUCCGGUGAAAAUAAUUCCCUCUAAGCACAAUUUUAAUUGUAUCAAAAUAGAUAAAAUAAAUAAAUACAUUUCCACAUAUCCUUCGAUUUAAAAUAAAGAAUCUUAAUUUUUUUUUUAAGAAUGUGUAGGCUAUAGGCUUUUGCAUAUAUGCGGAACGAAACAACCGUUACAUCUGUUUCAUUCACUGUAAUUAAGCGGACGCACAUAACAACAAACAGUAACAACGAGCGAGGGAGAUCAGACCAGACGUAGCCAAACAAGCUAUCCUUAAAAAAAAAAGUAAUUUCUGAAAACAAGCAGGUGUAAUUACAGUGACAACGAUGAGGCUGCCGCACAGUCUCAAGACCGCUGAGGCCGUGACUUCAGCCAAACAGAAACAAAAAACGCCGGGCGUUCAGGGCCCGAAUUGGAAAGCGAAGCUCGACCUGGCCGAGGUGCAACAUUACAGAUGGGGAAGAAAAAAGACGUUCUGCUCACACCGCGGAGAAAAUGGAUUCACCGGAGGAGCAACGAACACGAGAAUCUCGGUUCUUGUUGAGCACAGUCAGCGCCGUGGCCACGUUUUGGCGGUCAAUUUAACGCCGCAGCAAACCGCAGUGGAAAGCCCGCCGCGAGAAGGCCAGCGAGACGUCCGGGAAGAAGCUGUGCCCUCAGCUACGAGUUGUAUAUACCAGGGCCAAAAAAAAAAUGGACAUUGCAGGUCUCCGGUACGUGGGGUUGACUGACCCAUCGAGAGCAGCUCGGGCUCCGGAUGUUGGCACAUGUGGGGGCAUUUACCGGCACAGCGGCUCCGUUGAUGACACGGAAAAGGCGCCGAGGGAUGUCGCGAUGAAACAGGUGGAUGAGAAGCUAAAGAGGAGCGACUUCCUGGGGAUUAUAAUCGACGAGACGGCGAAUAUCACCGUGGACAAGAAGCUUGACUCUAUACGUCCAGUUGGAAAUAAAACGAGGAGUUGAGACUUGUUCUCUGGGCAAUUAUGAUGUGCACUCCGGGACCAGGGACCGGGACAUGAGCCAGCCAUAGCAAACCAGCUGAUAAGGAGCGACAUUAGCAUUCAUGUGGAGUCGUGUGUCUGGCCACCCGACGAAACCAGAACACUGAUACUGGACGAUUCUGCGAGACCCACAUGGAUUAUGUUCAGUGAUGAUGGCAUCACUUUCUAUUCCGGCUCAGGAAUAACAAGGUGGCUGCCAAACAGCAGACACACCAGCCCUGUUCAUUUUAUGGGACCACCAGACUUUUCAUCAAUAUGUUUCAGCGUGACUUCCAUUCUCAAGCUGAUGAAAUUCUUGCAUGACAAGGCUGCAUACCCAGGUGCCCACCAAGGACGUGCAUUUAUUUAAAUAUACAGUAAGUUUGACUGUUGUUUGUCAAACUUUAUCUGUAGUGUCCUUGUGGCUCUGUCUGCGAAGGCACAGACUCUUCCUCCUAUCUGAUUUGUUUGCAUGACUAUGGCUCAUAUCACUCACUGCAAGUCAUACCCACGACCACUCACAUUUGUUAUUUCUUUCCACUGUGUACAAGUAGAAAUUCUGACUGAUCUUCAAGUUAGAGAAAAUAAAAAGAAAACAAAA